AGAGUUUGAUCCUGGCUCAGGACGAACGCUGGCGGCGCGCCUAACACAUGCAAGUCGAACGAGCGAGAGAGAGCUUGCUUUCUCGAGCGAGUGGCGAACAGGUGAGUAACGCGUGAGGAACCUGCCUCAAAGAGGGGGACAACAGUUGGAAACGACUGCUAAUACCGCAUAAGCCCACGGGUCGGCAUCGACCAGAGGGAAAGGAGCGAUCCGCUUUGAGAUGGCCUCGCGUCCGAUUAGCUAGUUGGUGAGGUAACGGCCACCAAGGCGACGAUCGGUAGCCGGACUGAGAGGUUGAACGGCCACAUUGGGACUGAGACACGGCCCAGACUCAUACGGGAGGCA
rnacentral:rRNA from 1 species